rnacentral:rRNA from 1 species
UUCGGAUCGCGGCGACGUGAGCGGUUCGCUGCCCGCGACGUCGCGAGAAGUCCACUGAACCUUAUCAUUUAGAGGAAGGAGAAGUCG